GGAGAGGAUAGACUGGAGGGGAGGGGAGGGGUGGAACCAAGGCUGUGAAAUGUUUAUCUCAACAGAACAAAAUGGAUCGUACGUAAUUCGAGAAAAUAAUAUAAAAAAUAUUGUUGUCUAUUGGGUUGUGUGCCUAUUAUUUCCUGACAAAACGAAGGGAACUACUCGGACAAGCAAUACGUAUGCGUUGACAAUGAACGAGGAAUAUAUUUUAUCUUCUUGAUGCGCCGAGCUGGAAAAACAGACGCUAAGUUCGGUGAAACGUAAUUUUUCUUCGAAUCUUCGAACGUAAGAAAACACCGCUGGGAUCUAUACACCGAGAAAGCUGACAAAUGAAUCAAGAAGUUCGAAACUUGCUGUCUGGAGAGCAGAUCGUUGCAUCGUCCGGAAGACGUCGAAAUUUCUUUGACCCAUUUUAUCCUGUCGUUUCCGAACGUCUGCAGGGUUUACCACUCACGGCAUGUCUGCUCAUACGAAUACUUUUCUCCGGCUGAAAAAAUUCGAUUCGCACAGUAAUAAAUCAAAGGUUGCAACCCUUUGACUACUAGAAAGCAAACCGAGUGGCCCGUUUACGUCCCACAAUCCACGGCUACCGUCUCUUCUCUAAGAGUAUUGCUGGCCACUGAUUAUGCCACAAGAAGGUUUCGUUCCAGUUGAUUACUAUUGUCAUUAUUUACGAGUUGUAAAUUAUUCAAAUGUUUGACACCUCCUAGGAAGAAAGUCUAUUUGCUUAUCUCAA